rnacentral:misc_RNA from 1 species
GCCAAGUUGUCUGUUCAGUAGGCAUUUAUACUUGCUGCAGAAAUUGUAUAUUCUGGAACUAACAUAACCAUGAGUAAGCCAGUUAUAAAUCAGCAAGUAAAGGAAGUGUUGACCUCUAGAGCAUAGAUAACUAAUGCGCGAAAUAUUACAUGGCAUGAACAAUAAUAAUCACAGGUAUUCCAGACCGAGCAAAUGCAGCUUGUCAGGUUCUUCUGCUCAAU